rnacentral:rRNA from 1 species
AUGAACGCUAGCUACAGGCUUAACACAUGCAAGUCGAGGGGCAUCAGGAAGAAAGCUUGCUUUCUUUGCUGGCGACCGGCGCACGGGUGAGUAACACGUAUCCAACCUGCCCUUUACUCGGGGAUAGCCUUUCGAAAGAAAGAUUAAUACCCGAUGGCAUAAUGAUUCCGCAUGGUUUCAUUAUUAAAGGAUUCCGGUAAAGGAUGGGGAUGCGUUCCAUUAGGUUGUUGGUGAGGUAACGGCUCACCAAGCCUUCGAUGGAUAGGGGUUCUGAGAGGAAGGUCCCCCACAUUGGAACUGAGACACGGUCCAAACUCCUACGGGAGGCAGCAGUGAGGAAUAUUGGUCAAUGGGCGCUAGCCUGAACCAGCCAAGUAGCGUGAAGGAUGAAGGCUCUAUGGGUCGUAAACUUCUUUUAUAUAAGAAUAAAGUGCAGUAUGUAUACUGUUUUGUAUGUAUUAUAUGAAUAAGGAUCGGCUAACUCCGUGCCAGCAGCCGCGGUAAUACGGAGGAUCCGAGCGUUAUCCGGAUUUAUUGGGUUUAAAGGGAGCGUAGGUGGACUGGUAAGUCAGUUGUGAAAGUUUGCGGCUCAACCGUAAAAUUGCAGUUGAUACUGUCAGUCUUGAGUACAGUAGAGGUGGGCGGAAUUCGUGGUGUAGCGGUGAAAUGCUUAGAUAUCACGAAGAACUCCGAUUGCGAAGGCAGCUCACUGGACUGCAACUGACACUGAUGCUCGAAAGUGUGGGUAUCAAACAGGAUUAGAUACCCUGGUAGUCCACACAGUAAACGAUGAAUACUCGCUGUUUGCGAUAUACAGUAAGCGGCCAAGCGAAAGCAUUAAGUAUUCCACCUGGGGAGUACGCCGGCAACGGUGAAACUCAAAGGAAUUGACGGGGGCCCGCACAAGCGGAGGAACAUGUGGUUUAAUUCGAUGAUACGCGAGGAACCUUACCCGGGCUUGAAUUGCAACUGAAUGAUGUGGAGACAUGUCAGCCGCAAGGCAGUUGUGAAGGUGCUGCAUGGUUGUCGUCAGCUCGUGCCGUGAGGUGUCGGCUUAAGUGCCAUAACGAGCGCAACCCUUAUCUUUAGUUACUAACAGGUCAUGCUGAGGACUCUAGAGAGACUGCCGUCGUAAGAUGUGAGGAAGGUGGGGAUGACGUCAAAUCAGCACGGCCCUUACGUCCGGGGCUACACACGUGUUACAAUGGGGGGUACAGAAGGCAGCUAGCGGGUGACCGUAUGCUAAUCCCAAAAUCCUCUCUCAGUUCGGAUCGAAGUCUGCAACCCGACUUCGUGAAGCUGGAUUCGCUAGUAAUCGCGCAUCAGCCACGGCGCGGUGAAUACGUUCCCGGGCCUUGUACACACCGCCCGUCAAGCCAUGGGAGCCGGGGGUACCUGAAGUACGUAACCGCAAGGAUCGUCCUAGGGUAAAACUGGUGACUGGGGCU